rnacentral:rRNA from 1 species
UACGGAGGAUCCAAGCGUUAUCCGGAUUCAUUGGGUUUAAAGGGUGCGUAGGCGGAAUGAUAAGUCAGUGGUGAAACCCUGCAGCUUAACUGCAGAACUGCCAUUGAUACUGUCAAUCUUGAGUAUAUUUGAUGUGGGCGGAAUGUGUCAUGUAGCGGUGAAAUGCUUAGAUAUGACACAGAACACCGAUUGCGAAGGCAGCUCACAAAACUAUAACUGACGCUGAGGCACGAAAGCGUGGGUAUCAAACAGG